AUAUCUCUCCGUACGGGAAGGAUGAGAAGCUUCGACUAAGGUUCGAUUCGAGCGCAGCGAGAACGCGUUGCCGCAGGCAACGACCCGAAGGGCGAAGCG
rnacentral:sRNA from 2 species